rnacentral:rRNA from 1 species
CGCGCAGGCGGCCAGGUCAGUCGAAUGUGAAAGCCCCCGGCUCAACUGGGGAAGGUCGUUCGAUACCGCCUGGCUUGAAGAUAGGAGAGGGAAGUGGAAUUUCAGGUGUAGUGGUGAAAUGCGUAGAUAUCUGAAGGAACACCAGUGGCGAAGGCGACUUUCUGGCCUAUUCUUGACGCUGAGGCGCGAAAGCUAGGGGAGCGAACG